rnacentral:rRNA from 1 species
AUUGAACGCUGGCGGCAUGCUUUACACAUGCAAGUCGAACGGUAACAGGGAGCUUGCUCCGCUGACGAGUGGCGAACGGGUGAGUAAUGCGUCGGAACGUGCCGAGUAGUGGGGGAUAACGCAUCGAAAGGUGUGCUAAUACCGCAUACGUACUGAGGUAGAAAGUGGGGGACCUUCGGGCCUCACGCUAUUCGGGCGGCCGACGUCUGAUUAGCUGGUUGGUGAGGUAAAGGCUCACCAAGGCGACGAUCAGUAGCGGGUCUGAGAGGAUGAUCAGCCAAACGGGGACUGAGACACGGCCCAGACUCCUACGGGAGGCAGCAGUGGGGAAUUUUGGACAAUGGGCGCAAGCCUGAUCCAGCCAUGCCGCGUGUCUGAAGAAGGCCUUCGGGUUGUAAAGGACUUUUGUCGGGGAGGAAAUCCCCAGCGUUAAUACCGCUGGGGGAUGACAGUACCUGAAGAAUAAGCACCGGCUAACUACGUGCCAGCAGCCGCCGUAACAC